UCGGCGGCACCGGCCAGGGAGCCGGGCGGAGGCUGCAGCCCCUGGCCCGGCACUGGCCAAGACACACGUCUUCAGCAAUUUUUGAUUUUGCGCCGGAGUGCAGAUCAAUCUUCACGAGGAGGUCUCCUUUAGGCACUGGAAGGUGCUGUAAGGUCUCCCUGAAGCCUUCUCUUCUGCAGGCUGAAUAGCUCCAAUCUCUCAGUCUGUCUUCAUAGCAGAGGUUCUCCAGGCCUCUGAGCAUCUUCGGGGCCUUCCUCUUGACUCAAUCCAACAGGUGCUUGUCUUUCUUUGCGACUCCACAGCUGGAUGAAGCACUGCAGCUGGGGUCUCACAAGAGCAGAACAGACAGGCAGAACCACCUCCAUUGAUCUGCUACUCUUGCUUCCUUUGAUGCAUCUCAGGAUACAGUUGACCUUCUGGGCUACAAGUGCAUAUUGUUAACUCACCAAACUUCUUGUCCAGCAAUGUCCCCAAGUCCUUUUCCACAAGCCAAGUCUCAAUCCAUUCUCCACACAGCCUGUAUUUGUGUUUGGGAUUGCCCUGACCCAGAUGCAGCACCUUGCGCUUGGCCUUGCUGAACUUCAUGAGGUUUGCAAAGGUCCACCUCUCAAGUUGUCCAGGUGCUGCUGGAUGGUAUCCCUUCCUUAGUUUGUGUUGAUCACAUCACUCAGUUUGGUGUCAUCAGCAAAUCUGCUAAGAGUGAACUCUGUCCCUGUGUCCAUGUUGCCAACAAAGAUGCUGAACAUCACCAGUCCCAAUACCAAUAACCAAGGAACACUACUUGUCACCGGUCUCCACUUGGACUACCAAUUCACUUCCCUCAUAUCAAAUUGUUAGUAAAGAUUUCCUGAUCAAAGUUUGAUUUUUUUUGGAUGCCAGUUCAGAGUUCAUGUUCACAUCCUUCUAGGACAACUUUAACAAAUGUAGGGAGGGAAGGUGCUUCUGUUACAUGUGCAUUCUUAUUAAACUUCAACAAUACAGAAUCCUAGCAAACUAAAUUAAUGAGAAGAUGUGCUCAACUGUGUAAAAUCUUGGGAGAACUGGGUAAUGUGGACUACUUUCACUUGAAUGAUAGGGUCUUUUUUAAUUAGUAUUUACUAUUACAAUAGACAAAUCCUCAAAAAGUUGCUGCAUUUAACCGCAAAGAAAGUCUUAAGGCUGCAAUGGAAAAAGAUUGAUCAAUAUUGGAACUAACAAAUGGAAUGUGAAAAUGCGUUAUUACAGCCAUGUACUCCAUUGCUGGCAUGGUGAUCAGUGGCAGAAACAAUUCAUCAUCACAGCACAAAGCAAUGUCUGUAACGCAGCUUCACUUGUUUCGUCUUGUAUGAUGUAUACAAGCGUCAAGGAAAGUUCAACAUCUGCGAUGCUGAAGCUUUGUGAUAGUCAAACAUUAUGAUGGGUUUUCUAUCAAACUAAAAAGAGUUCAAGACUCAAUACUUUGCACAGAACAAGUGCACAGCAGCAGCAUGUGUCAUAUACAAUCUUACACAGUCUCACUUCUUCAGCCUCCAAGUCACUUUGAACAAGUAGAAGGCUUUUGAAGUCUGACUUUGUGUCACAAGGCAAAGAAGAAAUAUAUCCUUUUAUCUGAGAAUUCAUCUCUGACCAGAAAUAAAGACUUGCUGCUCACAA